GCAAGCCUGACGGAGCAAUACCGCGUGAGGGAGGAAGGCCUUUGGGUUGUAAACCUCUUUUCUUAAGGAAGAAGAUCUGACGGUACUUAAGGAAUCAGCAUCGGCUAACUCCGUGCCAGCAGCCGCGGUAAUACGGAGGAUGCAAGCGUUAUCCGGAAUUAUUGGGCGUAAAGCGUCCGCAGGCGGCACUAUAAGUCUGCUGUCAAAGACCGCAGCUCAACUGCGGAAAGGCAGUGGAAACUGUAGAGCUAGAGUACGGUAGGGGUAGAGGGAAUUCCCAGUGUAGCGGUGAAAUGCGUAGAGAUUGGGAAGAACACCAGUGGCGAAAGCGCUCUACUGGGCCGUAACUGACGCUCAGGGACGAAAGCUAGGGGAGCG
rnacentral:rRNA from 1 species